rnacentral:tRNA from 1 species
UAUUUUUUGAUAACUUAGCUAGUACGUAAGGAUUUUUAAGUAUUAAUUUUUUUUUAAAAAAAAAU